AUGAUAGGCCUGAGCUGGAACUGCCGAGGAAUCGGGGGCGCCUCGACAGUUCGUGACCUCAUCGCCCUCGUCCAGAGUCAUCGUCCGCAGUUUGUUUUCUUAUGUGAAACAAGACAAAGCUCACAAAAAGUUCGUCGCCUUCGCCGUCGCCUAGGCCUACGUGGUUUUUGCGGCGUGAGCAGUGAUGGUCAAAGUGGUGGUUUAGCGCUGUUUUGGAAUGAU
rnacentral:rRNA from 1 species